GACGGAUGCUGGCGGCGUGCUUAACACAUGCAAGUCGAACGGAAAGGCCCUGCUUUUGUGGGGUGCUCGAGUGGCGAACGGGUGAGUAACACGUGAGUAACCUGCCCUUGACUUUGGGAUAACUUCAGGAAACUGGGGCUAAUACCGGAUAGGAGCUCCUGCUGCAUGGUGGGGGUUGGAAAGUUUCGGCGGUUGGGGAUGGACUCGCGGCUUAUCAGCUUGUUGGUGGGGUAGUGGCUUACCAAGGCUUUGACGGGUAGCCGGCCUGAGAGGGUGACCGGCCACAUUGGGACUGAGAGACGGCCCAGACUCCUACGGGAGGCAGCAGGGGGGAAUAUUGCACAAUGGGCGGAAGCCUGAUGCAGCGACGCCGCGUGCGGGAUGACGGCCUACGGGUUGUAAACCGCUUUCGCCUGUGACGAAGCGUGAGUGACGGUAAUGGGUAAAGAAGCACCGGCUAACUACGUG
rnacentral:rRNA from 1 species